rfam:Puccinia sorghi strain RO10H11247 Scaffold_269, whole genome shotgun sequence.
GCCUUCGUGGCUCAGCUGGUUAGAGCGCCGGUCUCAUACCUCCCCUCCGGGGUAAUAUUAUAUGAUCGUCUGGUGACAGACGAGGCAUCCGGAGAUCGCCAGUUCGAUCCUGGCCGAGGGCA